GCUGUGGAUGGAGCUCGGCUCCCGUAGGAGUCCGGGCGGAGUCUUCUUUGCUGUAGAAGUUGUGGAUGGAGCCCGGCUCCCGUAGGAGUCCGGGUGGAGUCUUCUUUGCUGUAGAAGCUGUGGACGGAGCCCGGCUCCUGCAGGAGUCCGGGCGGAGCGACGGGAGUUCACCAACAGUAGUCGAAAGUCGGAAGAGACAUGCGAGGGUCGAUCCUGCCAAGAACUUCGACCGAGGGUAUUUUAUACCC
rnacentral:lncRNA from 1 species